AUUGAACGCUAGCGGGAUGCCUUACACAUGCAAGUCGAACGGAGUGGCGAACGGGUGAGUAAUGUAUCGGAACGUGCCCAGUAGCGGGGGAUAACUACGCGAAAGCGUAGCUAAUACCGCAUACUAUUGGAGCGGCCGAUAUGGGAUUAGCUGGUUGGGGGGGUAACGGCUCACCUAGGCGACGAUCCGUAGCCGGUUUGAGAGGACGACCGGCCAAACUGGGACGGAGACACGGCCCAGACUCCUACGGGAGGCAGCAGUGGGGAAUUUGGGGCAAUGGGGGAAAGCCUGACCCAGCCAUCCCGCGUGUGCGAUGAAGGCCUUCGGGUUGUAAAGCACUGUUGGCAGGAAAGCGGUACCUGAAGAGUAAGCAACGGCUAACUACGUGCCAGCAGCCGCGGUAAUUC
rnacentral:rRNA from 1 species